rnacentral:rRNA from 1 species
UACAUGGGGUGCAAACGUUGCUCGGAAUUAUUGGGCGUAAAGCGCACGUAGGCGGUUCGUUAAGUCGGGGGUGAAAUCCUGGAGCUCAACUCCAGAACUGCCUUCGAUACUGGAAAGCUCGAGUCCGGGAGAGGUGAGUGGAACUGCGAGUGUAGAGGUGAAAUUCGUAGAUAUUCGCAAGAACACCAGUGGCGAAGGCGGCUCACUGGCCCGGUACUGACGCUGAGGUGCGAAAGCGUGGGGAGCAAACAGG